AUGUACCAUAAGGAAGAUUUCUAAGAUAAAUCUUGGUUUAUGUUUCUCCUACAGCAUGGAUCACACCAUAUCUCCAUGGUGCAUCCAGCCUCUACAUCUUCAGAAGAGGAAUGGAAAUCUGAGGGAGAGAAAAUCCUCUCAACCGCUCUCAAGUAGUUGUAAUGCAUUUUCCUCAGGCCCCUACCAUGAGGUGGAGUCUGCAACUCUACUCCCUGAUUGUCCUGAGAUGAGGAGAAUGGCCUCUACUCAACACUUCUGAUCUGUUAGGAGCUUGCCAGUGAUGCUGUUUGCCAGCAGCAAAGGAGCUUGGAUAUGGCAUGGCUGUAACUCCUGACCGUGGAGACUGAUAGUCCAGAAGAUAUUAAGCUCCAGCCAAUUUCUAUUUUCUCUUUCAAAGAUUGCUAACCUCAUCUCUCCAGGGUCUGCAAUUCCUGCUAGCCUGUAAACCAGUGUGGGUAAUAUCUGUCUCUAAUUUGUAAUUACUAGGUCUACAUCACAAUGAGAUGGAUCAAGCAUUUUUGGGCCUGCCUUUAUUUAAUUAGUGGACACAUGCAUUUGUAGUGCUGAAGUACAAUUGUGUGGAGCAGCUCCUCAGUAUUUUAAAGUUUUUUUUUCCAUGUCCACAUUUUGUGUAUCGCUCACUUGCUGUAUCCAUAAUAUACAGCAGAUCAUUGUUACUAGCAUUAAUAUCAUUCAGUGUUCUGCAUAUUUUUCAACAAAAUUUGUUUUUGUGGAAAAAAACAAGGACAGUACUUUGUAGAAUUGAAGCAGACAGUCUGCUUCUGAAUUCAUGCCUCUUCCCUGUGCAUACGCCCUAUUAUUAAUGUAUAUUAUUACUUCCAGUAUGUCAGAAAAAGAGACAAACAGUCAGAGGCAGAAAUUUCUCCCUAAUUCACUCUGCCUAGCCAGCAAAAUGUAACACAAAAUUAUUCAGGGGGAAAAACACAAUUUUCUGUCAUCUCUGCCAUACACUGAUAACAAAGCUACCGGCUAAUAUGUUUUGAUAUUUUUGUCACUCGUUUAUCAUGUGACCUUUCAUGCUAUCAUUAAUACAGCUGAGGGACAGAGCAGAUACACUGAAAUAAGGGUGUGGAGAAGUCAGAUUGCUUCUCCAACAACUAACGGUCAGUCACCGCAAUUUAUGCUUUUCUUCAGUAUAGCAGUGACUGAAGAAGAGAAAUUGUUAUUAAAAUUUGAUAUUACUGUCUAGGCUCUGCCACCUGGAAUUUGCAACUUUUAAGCUAUGAUGGGAACCUUCUGAGGGGGUUGAUAAAUUUUCCUUUGAAUUAUGAUAUUAAUACAAUACAAUAUGCUUGCUGAGAUAUUCAAAGAGUGUACAUGUGGGGAAAAAAUCAUAUUUGGGACAUUUGAACAUUAGUCGUAGUCAUGGGUUGUUAUAUCCAAGCCACAUAUUUAAAUAAUAUGGAUACAAUCAUCUUGCAUUGCUUCAGUUAAAACUGGUGACUUUUUGGUUUAAAAAAUCUAAGCAACUAAUAGUGUUUUCCAUUAUUCAAGAAUAUUUGCAGGACACUCUAGGAAGUGCAGUGUAGCUCUUUUUAAAAAAAAGUAUUUAUUUUAUGAUAGAUGAUUCCUGGUUUGAAUUUGCACUCAGCUUUACACCAUUUCUGACAAUGGUCUAGAUUUUUAUAUAGCCUAUAGAAGCUGGUCUGUUAAAAUUCCAGUAUACAACUAAUUUAUAUUUGACAUUAAUGAGUUAAGAAAUGUUUUAUACAGUACAUCAGGGCUGAGAGAGAACUUUACAGUAUUCUAGUAAAAGCAAAUUACUUCUGAGGACUACCAUUAUGUAAAAAGUGAAAAAUCUUUCACUAACCUAAGCGACCUGUCCUGUCAAGAUCCUGUGAUUUUUAAUAUUUAUAUUAAGAAAGGAUUGAAAAUGUAACAAAGCCUUUCUCCCCACUCUCUCCUCUCACCUCAUUAUACAGGGAGAUUGUAAUUUUACUGUUUGGAUGAGAUCUCCUUUUUCCUGCACAUGCAUGACUCUUCCAGCUUAGAAUAAAUCAUAUCCAAUGAUAACUGAUUAAAAUAAU
ensembl:lncRNA